rnacentral:rRNA from 1 species
GACAGAGGGGGCAAGCGUUGCUCGGAAUUACUGGGCGUAAAGGGCGCGUAGGCGGGCUGGCAAGUCAGCUGUGAAAUCUCUCGGCUCAACCGAGAAACGUCGGCUGAUACUGCCGUUCUUGAGGGAUGCAGAGGAGACUGGAAUUCCCGGUGUAGCGGUGAAAUGUGUAGAGAUCGGGAGGAACACCGGUGGCGAAGGCGGGUCUCUGGGCAUUUCCUGACGCUGAGGCGCGAAAGCGUGGGGAGCAAACGGG